rnacentral:lncRNA from 1 species
AACAACUGGGCGUGAGAACUACUGUAAAAACAAGUAAUCCUCAGUGGGUACCGCCCAAAACAAUAUCGGUCCACCCACUAAGUCUACAGAAGGGAGCAAGAAUAGCCAAAAAGCAGGAAAUAAACUCAACCGCUACAAAUCACUAUACUAUCAUGCUCUACACUAACCAACUGUAGGAAAUGUCAAAUCUGACCCAAUCCAAUCGGGACUGUAGACAUACCCGUCCCUGGGACUGUGAACACACCCGUCCCUGCCCCGUUGCAACUAUCAGGCUCUAUCCACACAACUGGUCCGUGGAGAGCAAGUCCAACCGGUAUGAGCGACACCAACGCAAAAGCACAAAGCCCAUCUCCGGAGUGGCACUCGUGGGCGCUACCCAACCGAGUAUGCAGCGUAUCUCUGUCGAGCUCAAUCAGGCUCCAACUAGCCAAAGUCAAGUAAACAGGGUCAAAACAGGUCUACAAACCAAACCCACGUGCCCUCGGCACAAUCUGUGACCAAAACAAGAAUCUGGGUCCACCGCUAACCCGAACGGCACCCAACGACCCGAAACAGCCUAAACUCUGCUGAAAAAUAAGCUCGGCACCCCAGCACGAGCGUAAAUGCCUUCUAAACUACCCCAGGUAUCCAUCGCACUGAUACUGCAACGAUACAAUCGAAUCACGGCUCCUAGAGCUAAAUCUGGUAGUUUAAGCAUAUGACGGGUCAAAACGCAGGUUUUCUCCUAAGUCAAAUUUCAAGUCCAACAUGUAUAAUAUAAAUAUUCAUUUCAGCAUGCUUCUACAUUCAUAUUACAUUCAAGAUGCUAAUCGAUGAAUUAAAGCAUGAUAUACAAAAAUCGAACUAUACACGUCGACUAAACAUGCACUUAGGAGCGAAACCGAUGAUACACCCACCUCUAGUGCAAUUCCUGGCAGCAAGAUGGUCUCGGAUCACAAGCAACACUGCUGGAAACACCUCCAAACCAGCAACAAAGCCCCUCAAGAUCUGGAUUUACAAUUCACCCAAAAAUCCAAUAAAAACCAUCAAUUUACCAAAAUUUCAGCACUUAAGCUUAAUUAUCUCAAUUCCAAUGUCAAAACUCACCUAAUGAUCUCCAAAUCGGGUGAGGACAGAUCCAAAUCCAGCAACUACUGAUGGGUGAUCAAUCUCAGGUCCAAAAUCCCACUGCCUACAAAGUUAGCAUCAAGAAAAGCUCAAAAAUUCCAAUUUCAGCUCAAAGUCAACAGCAGUCCAGAAAAACCUCAGUUCGACCAAGCUAACCUCAACCAAAAUCUGCAAUUCAGGGCUUCGUGGAUUCCUCUGGAAGUCUAGAAUCCAGCAAACCAAGUUUCGUCGAAAUCCGACCUUCCUACGUCGCGCACGAGCCAAAACACUGGAGGUCGUCGCUGAAGAACUGCAGAAUCAGCACUCCAUCAAGCUGGAUCAAUGGAAAUUUGAUGCAAAUUGAGGCAAAUCCGAGGGUAGAGAUGCUAAAAGGGACUUCUCUGUGAAGAAGGGAGGAAAAGAGCUCACCAGGGUCACCUUCCAUCUAUUUAUAGGCUGCUGGAGAGAUAAGAUAAGCCCCAAGAGAAAACAGCUGCUAUCCAGUACUCAUGCAGAAACGGGCAUUUCUGGGCGCCCGGAACCAUGUUGUGGGCGACCAGAACAUCCCGACUGCACAAACCGGGCUCCUCGGACUCUCCGCUCGCGGUGUGCUGCGCCCGUAAAUGGCUCCGGCGGAACUCACCUACCGCCCUGCCACGCGUCGAAGCAAGCGAUAUUCACGAUGUCGAAUUUCCGGACCCACAUCUGGGCGCCCGGAACAUGGGAUCCGAAUUGGCUUCCAGUUUCAGUUAAAUUCAACACUCAUUUCUGGGCGACCCUAAAAAUGUUCUGGGCGCCCGAAUCUGGCAAAACUCCAGUUUUGCUUAUUUGAGUGCGCCGAGUCCAAUUCUGCAUCCAAUUCGUGCAGAAUUGACUCCGACUCAGUCCGACACUCUCCAGAGAUGUCGACCAGUCACUAAUACUGAAGCCAACCCUCUCCAAAGCUCAGGAACACUACAUCCUCCCCCACUACAAAAAGUUUCGUCAGUGAAACUGAACACAUACCUCAAUCCAGAGCCUCAAAUAGGUAGGGGUAGGACUCCUUCAUCACCGUCUCCGGCUCCCAUGUCGCCUCCCGCUUCUCGUGAUUACUCCACUGCACCUUUACAAAGGGUAUGACCCGGUUGCGCAACUCCCUCGACUCACGAGCCAGAAUCCGCACCGGUCGCUACUCGUAGCUCAGGUCCUCGCUAAUCUCAAGCGGAGUGAAGUCAAUCACGUGGGAGGGGUCAAACACAUAUUUUCUCAAAGCUGAGACGUGGAAAACAUCGUGAAUGCCGGCUAGCCGUGGUGGUAGAGCAAUUCUGUAAGCAACUGGCCCGACUCGCUCCAAUACCUCGAAAGGGCCUACAAAACGUGGACUGAGCUUUCCACGUACACCAAAUCGGCGAAUCCCUCUGGACGGCGAGACUUUAAGAAAAACAUGAUCUCCNNGAAAUGUCAAAUCUGACCCAAUCCAAUCGGGACUGUAGACAUACCCGUCCCUGGGACUGUGAACACACCCGUCCCUGCCCAGUUGCAACUAUCAGGCUCUAGCCACACAACUGGUCCGUGGAGAGCAAGUUCAACCAACAUGAGCGACACCAACGCGAAAGCACAAAGCCUGACUCCGGAGUGGCACUCGUGGGCGCUACCCAACCGAGUAUGCAGCGUAUCUCUGUCGAGCUCAAACAGGCUCCAACUAGCCAAAGUCAAGUGAACAGGGUCAAAAUAGGUCUACAAACCAAACCCACGUGCCCUAGGCACAAUCUGUGACCAAAACAAGAAUCUGGGUCCACCGCUAACCCGAACGGCACCCAACGACCCGAAACAGCCUAAACUCUGCUGAAAAAUAAGCUCGGCACCCCAGCACGAGCGUAAAUGCCUUUUAAACUACCCCAGGUAUCCAUCGCACUAAUACUGUAAUGAUACAAUCGAACCACGGCUCCUAGAGCUAAAUCUGGUAGUUUAAGCAUAUGACGGGUCAAAACGCAGGUUUUCUCCUAAGUCAAAUUUCAAGUCCAACAUGUAUAAUAUAAAUAUUC